rnacentral:tRNA from 1 species
GCCGUUGUAGCUCAGGGGUAGAGCAGCGCUUUCGUAAAGCGAAGGUCGGGGGUUCAAUUCCCUCCAACGGCACCA